AGAGCGAACGCUGGCGGCAGGCCUAACACAUGCAAGUCGAGCGCCCCGCAAGGGGAGCGGCAGACGGGAGGGUAACACGUGGGAACGUACCCUUCAGUUCGGAACAACCCAGGGAAACUUGGGCUAAUACCGAAUACGUCCGUAAGGAGAAAGAUUUAUCGCCGAAGGAUCGGCCCGCGUCGGAUUAGCUAGUUGGUGGGGUAAAGGCCUACCAAGGCAGUGAUCCGUAGCUGGUUUGAGAGGAUGAUCAGCCACACUGGGACUGAGACACGGCCCAGACUCCUACGGGAGGCAGCAGUGGGGAAUAUUGCGCAAUGGGCGGAAGCCUGACGCAGCGACGCCGCGUGCGGGAUGAAGGCCUUCGGGUUGUAACCGCUUUCACCAGGGGCGAAGCGAGAGUGACGGUACCUGGGGAAGAAGCGCCGGCUAACUACGUGCCAGCAGCCGC
rnacentral:rRNA from 1 species